ACGCUGGCGGCGUGCCUAAUACAUGCAAGUAGAACGCUGAAGAGAGGAGCUUGCUCUUCUUGAAUGAGUUGCGAACGGGUGAGUAACGCGUAGGUAACCUGCCUUGUAGCGGGGGAUAACUAUUGGAAACGAUAGCUAAUACCGCAUAACAAUGGGUGACACAUGUCAUUUAUUUGAAAGGGGCAAUUGCUCCACUACAAGAUGGACCUGCGUUGUAUUAGCUAGUAGGUGAGGUAACGGCUCACCUAGGCGACGAUACAUAGCCGACCUGAGAGGGUGAUCGGCCACACUGGGACUGAGACACGGCCCAGACUCCUACGGGAGGCAGCAGUAGGGAAUCUUCGGCAAUGGGGGCAACCCUGACCGAGCAACGCCGCGUGAGUGAAGAAGGUUUUCGGAUCGUAAAGCUCUGUUGUAAGUCAAGAACGAGUGUGAGAGUGGAAAGUUCACACUGUGACGGUAGCUUACCAGAAAGGGACGGCUAACUACGUGCCAGCAGCCGCGGUAAUACGUAGGUCCCGAGCGUUGUCCGGGUUUAUUGGGCGUAAAGCGAGCGCAGGCGGUUUGAUAAGUCUGAAGUUAAAGGCUGUGGCUCAACCAUAGUUCGCUUUGGAAACUGUCAAACUUGAGUGCAGAAGGGGAGAGUGGAAUUCCAUGUGUAGCGGUGAAAUGCGUAGAUAUAUGGAGGAACACCGGUGGCGAAAGCGGCUCUCUGGUCUGUAACUGACGCUGAGGCUCGAAAGCGUGGGGAGCGAACAGGAUUAGAUACCCUGGUAGUCCACGCCGUAAACGAUGAGUGCUAGGUGUUGGAUCCUUUCCGGGAUUCAGUGCCGCAGCUAACGCAUUAAGCACUCCGCCUGGGGAGUACGACCGCAAGGUUGAAACUCAAAGGAAUUGACGGGGGCCCGCAC
rnacentral:rRNA from 1 species